rnacentral:lncRNA from 1 species
CCUACUUCUGAGGGGACCCAGAAAUAUAUUUCCCUAGGAACGUAGACCACUGUCACAUGAAUCAUAUUUGAUGGUCUAUUUCUUCAUGGCACGUGAGUUCUUACUUCGGGAAGAAUUAGAGCAAAGAGUGACGAGAACCAGCAGGAAGACAGAACAAAAAGCUAACAGAAUCAUAGAAGUGUUCAAACAACCAGCUAAAUUCAUUGCACGUAUUUCUCAACCACAGAAAUAUUUCAGGUGACUCUGUUUUUGACAAAACGUGGGAACCACAGGAUCUACAACACUUACAAGCAAAACUCAACAAGUCUAAUAAUAGUUACAGAAGUGAAAGCCAAUUUGGAUAAAAUAAGACAUUGACUCAAGUCCUCUGAGAGAAGAUUUUUGAAAACAAAGUUUACAAAAAUCUCAUUUUGCCUUUUGGGAAAUCACAGACCUUUUUGCACCUUGACUCUUUCUCUGGGUUUCUUUAUUACUGGGAGAAUUUUCUGCAGCAUUUCUUCUCCAUCUGACAUCAUGGAAUGUGAUACUUUCUUUUUUUCUUUUUUUAUCAUACAGUGAUUAAAAGGCUAUUGCAUGAUCUGUCCGUUGACUGAGCAUGUACUUUGUGGCCCACCGUCCCUCAGAAGGACAUGGGUGACAUGAAUGGUGGGGCAUAAGUGAUUUCUCUGUUUCAUAGGGUUUACUGUCUCAGUACCUAUAACCUCUCUAGUAAUAUACCCAAAAGGUAGCAGAUAAAAGCAGACCUUAGUGCCUGUGAGCCCAUUCACUAGGAAAGGGAAAGUUAGCAUGGUCUGUAUGGAAUUAAUAUAAACUAUUCUCUAUUGCUGCCUCUUGUGUGAUAC